rnacentral:rRNA from 1 species
UACGAAGGGGGCUAGCGUUGCUCGGAAUCACUGGGCGUAAAGCGCACGUAGGCGGAUCUUUAAGUCAGGGGUGAAAUCCUGGAGCUCAACUCCAGAACUGCCCUUGAUACUGGGGAUCUUGAGUCCGGAAGAGGUGAGUGGAACUCCGAGUGUAGAGGUGAAAUUCGUAGAUAUUCGGAAGAACACCAGUGGCGAAGGCGGCUCACUGGCCCGAUACUGACGCUGAGGCACGAAAGCGUGGGGAGCAAACAGG